UACGGAGGAUCCAAACGUUAUCCGGAUUUAUUGGGUUUAAAGGGUGCGUAGGCGGCCUAUUAAGUCAGAGGUGAAAGACGGUAGCUCAACUAUCGCAGUGCCUUUGAUACUGAUGGCUUGAAUGAACUAGAGGUAGGCGGAAUGAGACAAGUAGCGGUGAAAUGCAUAGAUAUGUCUCAGAACACCGAUUGCGAAGGCAGCUUACUAUGGUUUUAUUGACGCUGAGCACGAAAGCGUGGGAUCAAACAGG
rnacentral:rRNA from 1 species